CAGGGAUUACCUCAGUAACGGCGAGUGAAGCGGUAACAGCUCAAAUUUGAAAGCUGGCUCUUUUAGGGUCCGCGUUGUAAUUUGUAGAAGAUGCUUCGGGUGUGGCCCCGGUCUAAGUUCCUUGGAACAGGACGUCAUAGAGGGUGAGAAUCCCGUAUGUGACUGGGUGCCUUCGCUCAUGUGAAGCUCUUUCGACGAGUCGAGUUGUUUGGGAAUGCAGCUCAAAAUGGGUGGUAAAUUUCAUCUAAAGCUAAAUAUUGGCCAGAGACCGAUAGCGCACAAGUAGAGUGAUCGAAAGAUGAAAAGCACUUUGGGAAAGAGAGUUAAACAGUACGUGAAAUUGUUGAAAGGAAGCGCUUGCACCAGACUUGCGCGCUGAUGAUCAUCCGGGCUUCUGCCCGGUGCACUCGUCUGCGCUCAGGCCAGCAUCGGUUUCGGUGGUGGGGAUAAAGGCCUUGGGAAUGUAGCUUCUUUCGGGGGAGUGUUAAUAGCCCUCGGUGCAAAUGCCCGCCUACUGGGGCCGAGG
rnacentral:rRNA from 1 species